rnacentral:rRNA from 1 species
GACGAACGCUGGCGGCGUGCUUAACACAUGCAAGUCGAACGGAAAGGCCCUGCUUUUGUGGGGUGCUCGAGUGGCGAACGGGUGAGUAACACGUGAGUAACCUGCCCUUGACUUUGGGAUAACUUCAGGAAACUGGGGCUAAUCUCGGAUAGGAGCUCCUGCUGCAUGGUGGGGGUUGGAAAGUUUCGGCGGUUGGGGAUGGACGCGCGGCUUAUCAGCUUGUUGGUGGGGUAGUGGCUUACCAAGGCUUUGACGGGUAGCCGGCCUGAGAGGGUGGCCGGCCACAUUGGGACUGAGAUACGGCCCAGACUCCUACGGGAGGCAGCAGUGGGGAGUAUUGCACAAUGAGCGCAAGCGGGAGGCGGCGGCGCCGCGUGCGGAAUGACGGCCUUCGGGUUAUAAACCGCUUUCGCCUGUGACGAAGCGUGAGUGACGGUAAUGGGUAAAGAAGCACCGGCUAACUACGUG